CCUACGGGUGGCUGCAGUAGGGAAUCUUGCACAAUGGGCGAAAGCCUGAUGCAGCAACGCCGCGUGCAGGAUGAAGGCCUUCGGGUUGUAAACUGCUUUUAUCAGCGAGAAAAAUGACGGUACCUUAUGAAUAAGGAUCGGCUAACUACGUGCCAGCAGCCGCGGUCAUACGUAGGAUCCGAGCAUUAUCCGGAUUGACUGGGUGUAAAGAGUGGGGUAGGAGGGAUGAUAAGUAGCUAGGGGAAUCGGGUGGCUCAAACAUUCAGACUAUUAGCUAAACUGUUAAGCUCGAGAGCGUUAGGGGUAACUGGAAUUUCUAGUGUAGGAGUGAAAUGCGUAGAUAUUAGGAGGAACACCAGUAGCGUAGGCAGGUUACUGGGACGGUACUGACGCUAAGGCACGAAAGCGUAGGGAGCAAACGGGAUUAGAUACCCUAGUAGUC
rnacentral:rRNA from 1 species